rnacentral:tRNA from 1 species
GGAGGGGUCGGAUAAUGGUAUUCCACCAGUCUUGAAAACUGGCGCCCCGCAAGGGGCUUGCAGGUUCGACUCCUGUCCCCUCCG